CGUGUAGGCGGUUAGGCAAGUCAGGUGUGAAAUCCCUUGGCUCAACCAAGGAAGUGCAUUUGAAACUGCUUAACUAGAGUACAGUAGGGGAAAGUGGAAUUCCCAGUGUAGAGGUGAAAUUCAUAGAUAUUGGGAGGAACACCGGUAGCGAAGGCGGCUUUCUGGCCUGAUACUGACGCUGAGACGCGAAAGCGUGGGGAGCAAACA
rnacentral:rRNA from 1 species